rnacentral:misc_RNA from 1 species
GGAAAUUCAGUUAAAUUCUUUUAUAGUGAAUGAUUUAUUCCAAAAUCCUUUAGGGGAACCUGUAAGACAUGAAGUACAAUUUACAAACUGACCCUCAAAAAUUAUCAUCAAAUAACAAUUGAAGUACAUGAAUAAACAAAGAUGAAAACAAGAGGAGAUUGACCCUCAGGCUACAAGAACAAUAAUAAUAAUCGAAAAAUAUGCAAAAAAAUCUAUUAGGAGUGCUGGGAAUUGAAAAUCUCUUGUCACUUAUUUCUUGUGAUUACU